CUUCAUUGGUUCCGACUCUUUGCUCUGCCUCUCGGUCUUUCUUUCUUCACUCUUUUUAUUCUUCCCACAAAUGAAGGAUCACGAUGAAGAUUGGAGAGGAGAUUACAAAUUAAGAUGAGAGUAGUGAAAAAUCAAGACUGCAUCUUGCAAGUCGCAGUCGCACAAAGUAGCAGAUAGGAAGAGUGGAGACUGGAGAGUGAAGACGGCGUCGAAUCGAUCAGUCGAAGCUUGAGGGAAGAAAGCAAAGCACAAAGAAGAGUCUCAGAGACGUCGAAGAAGGGUUUUCUGGAGUCAAAAAAUGAUUUCAGGCCUUAUAACUUUGUUUUUGGUUGCUCUCUCACACAUGACUGUAGCAUACGAUGCUCUCUAUCUCUCUUUCUGUCGAGGCUUCCACUCCUCCAAAUGCUGUUUUUUUCCCCACAAUUCUUUAAGGGGUUGAAAAAUUGGGUCACGAAUUGGUGAAAUCAACAAGACGGCAGCAAAAGAUGGCGUUGGCGAGGCAGAUUAGGGCGAAACAUUGCGUCGCUUCUCCAGUUUGUCAAAAUGUCACUGCUUGUAUCGAGAAUCACACGCUUUGAUAUAGGAGGUGUUAGAUAGGUGUUGAUUUAACUCCAAUAGUACUAGUGGGAUGCGAAUAUGUACCAGAGCUCCAAGUGUUCUAGCAUCAUACCAUAGAUUGCUCCAAAAGGAUGUUUCGUCUGUUAUGAAGAAGGUAAUUUCAUCACAUAUUUGAUGUUGUUAAUUGGUAUAAGUGAAAUUCAUCAUAUAUUUAUCUAGAUGGAUCGUAUGAGAGUGCAUGUAGGAAUAACUUGAAUU